AAAAUUGGGGGCUGCAUUUUGGGGGGCCUAAGCUACUGCUUUAGUUGCUUCGCCCUCCAGCCGGCCCUGGUUACUCCAACAGAACAGCCUUUAUGGCAUUUAUUUAAUGGCAGUAAGAGAAUUGCCAGUAAUUUGCUCAAUGAAGUCAAUUAUUAGGGGCAUCUCCGACGAACUCAUUGAAUUUCUUCGAUGAAAAUGACUGAUUCUUGACUGUGCACAUGAUACAAGCUCAAGAGGGUCAUGUCAUCAGUACAUCAGCUUGCCAGCCCAUGGAUCAUGGGGGACUAAAGGACACAUCCUUGGAGCCAUAAAGGAGUCUAUCAGCCAUUCUAAAUUUAGGUCUGUUUGCCCAGACGAGGUCAUGAGUUUUCAUAAUAUCACGAGCAGCAUCGACAGAGGAAGCAACAAUGACCGGCUUACUGCCUUAGUGAAGUAGCAUGACUGGACCAUAUUUUUCAGAUAGUCUAUGGAGAUAAAGGUGUGGAUGCGACGCAAGUUGAUGGAGAUUUCCUAUGAUUGGAAGCUUUCUUGGAGAUGGUGGUAACCUUUUUUGGGUGUUUGAAGCAGUAAAGAACCACUGAUUAAGGAAGAAAAUGAAGGCAAACAGAGGAAUUAGAAGAGAAUACCAGGGAAGAUCCAUCCCUUUUAACAAGGAGUAUUAGGAGAUAUAUCUAGAAUUUGGUGCAUUUAUAUUGGGAAACAAAUAUCUCUAUCUUGAAAGCUGAUUUUAAUUUAUAUGCCUGCAUAUUCAGAGAAGCUACACCACACAAACUAAAGGAGACAAUCCACUGCAAUUAUUAUUUGCAUUGUUUGACAAAAAAGAUAA